rnacentral:rRNA from 1 species
UACGAAGGGGGCUAGCGCUGCUCGGAAUUACUGGGCGUAAAGCGUGCGCAGGCGGUUUUGUAAGCCAGAUGUGAAAUCCCCGGGCUCAACCUGGGAAUGGCAUUUGGGACUGCAAGGCUGGAGUGCGGCAGAGGAGACUGGAAUUCCUGGUGUAGCAGUGAAAUGCGUAGAUAUCAGGAGGAAUACCGAUGGCGAAGGCAGGUCUCUGGGCUGACACUGACGCUCAUGCACGAAAGCGUGGGGAGCAAACAGG